rnacentral:lncRNA from 1 species
AACAACAAGGUUUGUCAAAUGCACUCUCUAGACGAUCUUAGCUUGCACCAAAGGAAGGAGAUGCUGCUUUUGAUCAAUAAUAGAUAGUUUUCUUGAAGCCAGAGCAUCUUCAUCUUCGAGCAAUGAAAUCAACACUAAUUAUUGAUUCAACUUUCAUUAAGCAAGUUCAAUCAAGUAUGUCUUCUGAUCCUCUUAUUUAUGAUAUUAAGAAAAAUCCUUCAAAGUCUUAUAAUACUUCCAAGUUUGAAUUCAAGAACAAUCUACUAUAUUUUGAGGCAUGCCUAUAUAUUUCAAAAGGUAAAGCUCGAUUACGUGUUCUUCAAGCUCAUCAUGACUUUUCAGCAG